GCGCAACCCCGCGUUAGUUGCCAGCGGUUCGGCCGGGCACGUCUAACGGGACUGCCCGCGAAAGCGGGAGGAAGAGGGGACGACGUCUGGUCAGCAUGGCCCUUACGGCCUGGGCGACACACGUGCUACAAUGCCCACUACAAAGCGAGGCCACCCGGCAACGGGAGCUAAUCGCAAAAAGGUGGGCCCAGUUCGGAUUGGGGUCUGCAACCCGACCCCAUGAAGCCGGAAUCGCUAGUAAUCGCGGAUCAGCCAUGCCGCGGUGAAUACGUUCCCGGGCCUU
rnacentral:rRNA from 1 species